UCUCUGUAGUGCAAUGGAUAGCGCGUUGGACUUCUAAUCCAAAAGUCGUGGGUUUCGAAUCCCACCUGGAAAU
rnacentral:tRNA from 1 species